GGUAGACCAGCUAGAAGUCAUCUCCUUGCACUCAGGGACAACAGUUAAAAUUACAGGUGCAGGAAGGCGGACUAGAAGUGAAAGCAGAAGCCCCAUAGGAACUGUAGUCCUCUGAGUUACCCAGUGGACCAGCUGAGGUGCUGGAGCACCCUAAACUCAAGAACUUGGCAAGAUGGCCCCAUGGCAUCAACUGCACUAGGGAAGCUGUGCCAGAAGAUCAGUGCAAGUUCUAAAGCCAGCCUGCGCUACAGAACGGACACCAGGCUAGUCAGGGCUACAGAGCAAGAUCCUGGCUCCCGCCCCCUCUGCAAACUAAACUCUGUGCACACAACUCCAGAGACACAACAGAGACUGAGCAUUGUGUCUGCAAUUGCAAGGCAAAGCUGGGACUAACUUGCAACAUUCUACAAGUGACCCAAGGACUGAACAGCAGCAUCCAUGAGAGUCAUCCACGAUAAUCAGGGACAGCUGUGUGGCUUUGGAUUUUGUUGUUGUUUUAUAUUAAUGUAAAUUGAUAUCAAGGUCUGAAGCACAGAAAACCUUUCUACUGAACUACAUUCCUAACAGAGUAUCUGAAAUCUAAAUAUCUGAAGUGAAAAAGCUACUGAUAAUGAUACAUUUUGAAGUAUAUACAAAAAGGAACUGGGUAACAUUAUGGAGAGUGCUGGCAAAUGUACUAUAGCUUAAAUUCUGUUAUAUUUUGAUAACAAUUAUUUGAUAACAUGACAAUUUCACAUUCAUAAAGAAUUUCAUGU